CCACCAUUACAUAUCGUUACUCGUAUAUCCUCGGUAAUAUGGUCUGAGCGUUUCUACCUGGUUCCCAUUAUAAGAACCAGACUACGAGUUGAAGUAUUCGGUUU
rnacentral:ncRNA from 2 species